rnacentral:tRNA from 1 species
GCCUGGGUGGCUUAGUCAGUUAAGCAUCUGAUUUUGGCUCAGGUCACGAUCUCAUAGUUUGUGGGUUUGAGCCCCGCAUAGGGCU